GACGAACGCUGGCGGCGUGCUUAACACAUGCAAGUCGAACGAAGUGGCGAACGGGUGAGUAACGCGUAAUCAAACUGCCCUUCAGAGGGGGACAACAGUUGGAAACGAAUGCUAAUACCGCAUACUGAGGGAGGGGCUUGAGUCUGAUUAUCUAGUUGGUGGGGUAACGGCCCACCAAGGCGAUGAUAAGUAGCCGGUCUGAGAGGAUGAGCGGCCACAUUGGGACUGAGACACGGCCCAGACUCCUACGGGAGGUAGCAGUGGGGAAUCUUCCGCAAUGGAGGAAAGUCUGACGGAGCAACGCCGCGUGAGUGAUGAAGGCCUUCGGGUUGUAAAGCUCUGUUAAUCGGGACGCGGUACCGGAAUAGAAAGCCACGGCUAACUACGUGCCAGCAGCCGCGGUAAUUC
rnacentral:rRNA from 1 species